rnacentral:rRNA from 1 species
AAUAGAUACCCAGGUAGUCCACGCCGUAAACGAUGUCGACUUGGAGGUUGUUCCCUUGAGGAGUGGCUUCCGGAGCUAACGCGUUAAGUCGACCGCCUGGGGAGUACGGCCGCAAGGUUAAAACUCAAAUGAAUUGACGGGGGGCCCGCACAAGCGGUGGAGCAUGUGGUUUAAUUCGAUGCAACGUGAAGAACCUUACCUACUCUUGACAUCCAGAGAACUUAGCAGAGAUGCUUUGGUGCCUUCGGGGAACUCUGAGACAGGUGCUGCAUGGCUGUCGUCAGCUCGUGUUGUGAAAUGUUGGGUUAAGUCCCGCAACGAGCGCAACCCUUAUCCUUUGUUGCCAGCGGUUAGGCCGGGAACUCAAAGGAGACUGCCAGUGAUAAACUGGAGAAGGUGGGGAUGACGUCAAGUCAUCAUGGCCCUUACGAGUAGGGCUACACACGUGCUACAAUGGCGCAUACAAAGAGAAGCGACCUCGCGAGAGCAAGCGGACCUCAUAAAGUGCGUCGUAGUCCGGAUUGGAGU